AACAAACGCUGGCGGCGUGCCUAACACAUGCAAGUCGUACGAGAAAGGGUCCUUCGGGGCCUGAGUAAAGUGGCGCACGGGUGAGUAACGCGUGGAUAAUCUGCCCUUCAGUUGGGAAUAACUCAUCGAAAGGUGGGCUAAUACCGAAUAAUGCUGUGAGACCUCGGUUGAUCAGCCAAAGAGAGGCUCUGCUUGCAAGCCCUCGCUGAAGGAUGAGUCCGCGUACCAUUAGCUAGUUGGUAGGGUAAUGGCCUACCAAGGCGACGAUGGUUAGCUGGUCUGAGAGGAUGAUCAGCCACACUGGAACUGAGACACGGUCCAGACUCCUACGGGAGGCAGCAGUGAGGAAUCUUGCGCAAUGGGGGCAACCCUGACGCAGCAACGCCGCGUGAGUGAGGAAGGUCUUCGGAUCGUAAAGCUCUGUCGGAUGGAAAGAACCGCAUAGGGGUAAACAGCCCCUGUGUCUGACGGUACCAUCGAAGGAAGCACCGGCUAACUCCGUGCCAGCAGCAGCCGCCGCCG
rnacentral:rRNA from 1 species